GCAAGUCGAGCGAUGAAACUACUUCGGUAGUGAAUUAGCGGCGAACGGGUGAGGAACACGUGAGGAAUCUGCCUUCAACACUGGGAUAACUCCGGGAAACCGGGGCUAAUACCGGAUACGAGCCUUGAUCGCAUGAUCGAGGCUGGAAAGUUUUUCGGUUGAAGAUGACCUCGCGGCCUAUCAGCUUGUUGGUGAGGUAAUGGCUCACCAAGGCGACGACGGGUAGCCGGCCUGAGAGGGCGACCGGCCACACUGGGACUGAGACACGGCCCAGACUCCUACGGGAGGCAGCAGUGGGGAAUAUUGGGCAAUGGAGGAAACUCUGACCCAGCGACGCCGCGUGCGGGAUGAAGGCCUUCGGGUUGUAAACCGCUUUCAGUAGGGAAGAAGCGAAAGUGACGGUACCUACAGAAGAAGCACCGGCUAACUAUGUGCCAGCAGCCGCGGUAAUACAUAGGGUGCAAGCGUUGUCCGGAAUUAUUGGGCGUAAAGAGCUCGUAGGUGGUUUGAUACGUCGGGUGUGAAAUUCAGGGGCUCAACCCCUGACCUGCAUUCGAUACGGUCAAGCUAGAGUUUGGUAGGGGAGACUGGAAUUCCUGGUGUAGCGGUGGAAUGCGCAGAUAUCAGGAGGAACACCGAUGGCGAAGGCAGGUCUCUGGGCCAAUACUGACACUGAGGAGCGAAAGCGUGGGGAGCGAACAGGAUUAGAUACCCUGGUAGUCCACGCCGUAAACGGUGGGCGCUAGUUGUGCGAACCUUCCACGGUUUGUGCGACGCAGCUAACGCAUUAAGCGCCCCGCCUGGGGAGUACGAUCGCAAGAUUAAAACUCAAAGGAAUUGACGGGGCCCCGCACAAGCAGCGGAGCAUGCGGCUUAAUUCGACGCAACGCGAAGAACCUUA
rnacentral:rRNA from 1 species